UCUAUCUGAUCCGGAUUGAUAAAAUGUACAUGGGUAUCAACCGCACCGGCAGUGACAAUCUUCCCUUCCCCUGAAAUCACUUCAGUGGAAGCGCCAACGAUAAUAUCCACUUUAUCCUGAACUAGAGGGUUUCCCGCUUUGCCAAUACCGGAUAUUUUACCAUCACGGAGCGCAAUAUCCGCUUUAUAGAUUCCUGUAUAAUCUAAUAUAACGGCAUUGGUGAUGACUGUAUCCGGAACACGCACGUCUUCUUCCCUUGUGAUGGAAGGGUGCUGUCCCAUGCCGUCACGA
rnacentral:sRNA from 1 species